UCAGAUCCCCGCCACCAGCCAGCUCGAUACCAGCCAACCACCAACAUCCGACGCUGCCCCUUGUUUUCUGUGCCUGGCUGGCCCACAGCCUCCGCAACGCGUUCCUACCUGUCCUCCUGGAUGCGUCCGUCGCACGUAGGGAGCCCGAGGCUCCCCGUGCGCAUGCCCGUAGUGCCCUGCAGCCCGAGGCCGCACCCUCUUCUGCUGUUGUCUACCUUGUCGACCCCAGCUUCGCCCCGCCUCCACCGGCCGGCGAGCCACAAGAGCUCGCCCAACCGUCGCACCCUCAAGUUGUCCUUGCUGCUAGCAACCGCAGGUCGACCCGAGUCCCUUCCCUCUCCUUCCUCCUUCCUCCUCUCUCCCCUCUCCCUACUUCUCUCAUUCUCUCUCUGUAACUCGAAGCAACAGAAGCUCCCCCCAUGGCCGCAUGAGCAGCAAGCUUUGCCACUUGCCGUCAUUCUUUGCCACAUCCAGCCCCCUCCGCGAUGGAUCCACCUGUUCCCGCAACCCAAGCUCCAUCCAGCCAUCUCCUCGCCUCGGUGGAGCUGCCUCUUAUCGCGUCGCCCCUGCAACGAGCGAGGAGCUCGCCUGCCUGUGUCAACCUCCCGAGAGGCCCUGUCCAUAGACCAGUUCGGGUCAGACGUGGGCCAGCCUCAUCACGGCCCAACGGCGUCCGAAGGCCAAGUGGAGCCCAGGCCCAGCCGCGUCUUCGCCUGGCCUGCCUAUGCCCCACCUCAGCCCAUCAACGAACGGAGUCCGAGCGGCCUCCUCUCCGACUGGGCGAGGCCCAGCAAGAGUUCCGAACCGCUUCGGGUGUGAGGAUUCGUUCGACUACGUCGGUUCGUCUACUUCACAGAUUCGUUCUUCUUCCAAGCGUGGUCACGGGCAAGAUAAUCAUUUACCUAGAUCUAUUCCGGUCGAAAGAUAUGUAUUGGCGUUUGUUCCGUCGCCCUCAACAAUUAGUCGAGCUAUCAACGUCCAAUUUUGAUCGGGGAACACACGCGCCUGAGCUGUCACCCCUGCGACCUGAUCUAUAUCAAAUAUGUCACAAGAUUUUCUGAUGUUCAUCCGUCAAAAAUAUGAGGUGCUAUCCGUCUUCUUUAUUUUAUCAGUAUAAUUUUUAUUUUUGAGAAUAAUUACUUUGUGUGUAAUAUUUUUCUGUGCAGAACAAAGUGUUCAUUACGAAGGUGAUGUAAUAUUGAGAAUAUGAAGCUCACGCCAAUAUUAUCACGCGUGAGCAUCCGUCCACGCCACAUCUUUCAACAAAAGUGUGCAAGCCUCCGCCCCCGCGCUACGAUCUACACCAACCCGACGCACAUGACGGGCUUACAAUAACACGGCCAACUCUUACGACCGCGCGACCAAGAUGACUUACAAUGAUGCGGCCAAAUCUCACGUCCGCGCGACCAAGACGGCUUAAAAUGACGCGGCCGACUCUCACGUCCGCGCUACCAACACGACAACUCUCAUGUCUGUGCGACCAAGACAGCUUACAAUGUCGUGACUGAUUCUCGCGUCCGUGCCAAAUCGCCGGACAACUCUCACAUUCAACUCAACAUAUCGGUGCAGUGCUGGCCUAUGCGAGCCACCCAACAGACACGCGCAAGCCGCCGCCCGUGCAGUCCAGUCUACAUCAACAUAUCGGUGUAGUGCUCACCUAUAUGAGCCGCCUAGCAGACGGGCGCAAGCCACCGUCCCCACGGUCCGUUCUCCAUCAACAUAUCGGUGCAGUGCUCGCCUAUACGAGUCGCCCAACGGACACAUGCAAGCCGCCUCUGUGGCCCAUCUCCCGCAACAACACUGGAGCAAAGGAAGCAUGACAUUCAUGUCUUACACAAUGUCACCAAAACAUAGGACCAGCUCCCGCUCGCACCGGGUUGCUCAAUGGAUAGACACAUUCCCCAA